CAUGCAUGAAUAUGAUGAUAAUUAUGUUGGUAGGGACAUCUGAUUAAACAUGAUGAAUGCCAACUUCUCUGAUCUUUCAUG
ensembl:snoRNA